GACGAACGCUGGCGGCGUGCUUAACACAUGCAAGUCGAACGGUAAGGCUCCAGCUUGCUGGGGUACACGAGUGGCGAACGGGUGAGUAACACGUGGGUGACCUGCCCUGCACUUCGGGAUAAGCCUGGGAAACUGGGUCUAAUACCGGAUAGGACCGCACCGUGAGGGUGUGGUGGAAAGUUUUUUCGGUGUGGGAUGGGCCCGCGGCCUAUCAGCUUGUUGGUGGGGUAAUGGCCUACCAAGGCGGCGACGGGUAGCCGGCCUGAGAGGGUGGACGGCCACAUUGGGACUGAGACACGGCCCGGGCUCCUACGGGAGGCAGCAGUGGGGAAUAUUGCACAAUGGGCGGAAGCCUGAUGCAGCGACGCCGCGUGGGGGAUGACGGCCUUCGGGUUGUAAACUCCUUUCACCAUCGACGAAGGGUUUCUGACGGUAGAUGGAGAAGAAGCACCGGCUAACUACGUGCCAGCAGCCGCGGUAAUACGUAGGGUGCGAGCGUUGUCCGGAAUUACUGGGCGUAAAGAGCUCGUAGGUGGUUUGUCGCGUCGUCUGUGAAAUUCCGGGGCUUAACUCCGGGCGUGCAGGCGAUACGGGCAUAACUUGAGUACUGUAGGGGAGACUGGAAUUCCUGGUGUAGCGGUGAAAUGCGCAGAUAUCAGGAGGAACACCGGUGGCGAAGGCGGGUCUCUGGGCAGUAACUGACGCUGAGGAGCGAAAGCAUGGGGAGCGAACGGGAUUAGAUACCCUGGUAGUCCAUGCCGUAAACGGUGGGCGCUAGGUGUGGGUUUCCUUCCACGGGAUCCGUGCCGUAGCUAACGCAUUAAGCGCCCCGCCUGGGGAGUACGGCCGCAAGGCUAAAACUCAAAGGAAUUGACGGGGGCCCGCACAAGCGGCGGAGCAUGUGGAUUAAUUCGAUGCAACGCGAAGAACCUUACCUGGGCUUGACAUAUACAGGAUCGCGCCAGAGAUGGUGUUUCCCUUGUGGCUUGUAUACAGGUGGUGCAUGGUUGUCGUCAGCUCGUGUCGUGAGAUGUUGGGUUAAGUCCCGCAACGAGCGCAACCCUUGUCUUAUGUUGCCAGCACGUUGUGGUGGGGACUCGUAAGAAACUGCCGGGGUUAACUCGGAGGAAGGUGGGGAUGACGUCAAAUCAUCAUGCCCCUUAUGUCCAGGGCUUCACACAUGCUACAAUGGUCGGUACAGUGGGUUGCCAGUCCGUGAGGGCGAGCUAAUCCCGCACAGCCGGUCUCAGUUCGGAUCGGGGUCUGCAACUCGACCCCGUGAAGUCGGAGUCGCUAGUAAUCGCAGAUCAGCAACGCUGCGGUGAAUACGUUCCCGGGCCU
rnacentral:rRNA from 1 species